AUGAAGAGCAAAACAAUACUCACACUUAUCGUCACGUUUGAUAGGGUGCUUGAUUACAGCAAGAUUGUAGCAAGUUAUCAGACGGGAUAAGUGGCGGCGUAAC
rnacentral:sRNA from 1 species